UCGACGCCAGUCUUUCCCUGUGUCUUCAGCGUUGGAUCGUGUUCAGCGCCACGAUCAUAGUUUAUCAAGAGCUGGGCAUCCUUUCUCGACAAUGUGGGUCACUAGAUUACAACCAUGGGUGGCUGCGUGGGAUGAUGCAGACGAGCAGUUGGCUGAGGAUACCGGUCCACACAUUGAGCCUUCGUUUCGGGCGUACUUGACCUGGUACGAACCGAAGACUCGUUGCCGUUUGACGUAUGUUGACAUGCAUCCACAGCCGCAUAUUGCGACUUCGCAGGAUCGCUAUGCACGACACAGGGAUGAGGCAUUAGCUGGGGUGUUCGAGGCAUGCAGGCUGCUUGAAUUAGAUUGCUCACUGAAU